rfam:Spirochaetes bacterium GWB1_48_6 gwb1_scaffold_2085, whole genome shotgun sequence.
GCCAGUGUAGCUCAAUCGGCAGAGCAAUCCCUUCGUAAGGGAGAGGUUGUCGGUUCAACUCCGGCCACUGGCU